GCCCAGCCUUAACAAAACAAUCAAAUAACGAAUUGUUCGCCAAAUAACUACGAGUUAAAACUUAAAAUUUAAAAGACUUGACGGUACUUCAGACCAACCUAGAGGAGCCUGUCUAUUAACCGAUAAUCCACGAUUAACCCAACCCUUUCUAGCCCAACAGUCUAUAUACCGCCGUCGCCAGCUUACCUUGUGAAAGAAACAAGCCCGGUGUAACCUAAUGAAAGGGGCCAAGAUGGGCUACAUUUUCUAACCCAGAAAAGCCUACAACGAAUAAACUAUGAAACUAGAAACUGAAGGCGGAUUUAGCAGUAAGCUAAGAAUAGAAUACUUAACCGAAAUUAACGCAAUGAAGUGCGCACACACCGCCCGUCAUCCCUGUAAGACACAUAAACUAUUCAUAAUAUCUUAUCUUCUCCAAAGCAGGGCAAGUCGUAACAUGGUAAGCGUACUGGAAAGUGCGCUUAGAAACAAAAAGUAGCUUACACUAAAGCACUCGGCCUACAACCGAACGAUAUUAAAUAAUAAUCUUUUUGAGCCCAAUAAGCAUACAAACACAAAUAUAUAUAUAUAUAUAAACAAAACAUUUGACCAACUAA
rnacentral:rRNA from 1 species